CAGUCGCCGCGGUAAUACGUAGGGUGCGAGCGUUAAUCGGAAUUACUGGGCGUAAAGCGUGCGCAGGCGGUUAUAUAAGACAGAUGUGAAAUCCCCGGGCUCAACCUGGGACCUGCAUUUGUGACUGUAUAGCUAGAGUACGGUAGAGGGGGAUGGAAUUCCGCGUGUAGCAGUGAAAUGCGUAGAUAUGCGGAGGAACACCGAUGGCGAAGGCAAUCCCCUGGACCUGUACUGACGCUCAUGCACGAAAGCGUGGGGAGCAAACAGGAUUAGAUACCCCCGUAGUCCCUGUCUCUUAUAA
rnacentral:rRNA from 1 species